GGCCCCUUAGCUCAGCUGGUUAGAGCGUGGUGCUAAUAUAUAAACUAUACUAGGCACGCCAAGGUCAUCGGUUCGAUCCCGAUAGGGACCA
rnacentral:tRNA from 1 species